ensembl:lncRNA
GGGUAUUGAAUAGGUUGGGGGAGUGAGGGGUAUUGGAUAGGUUGGGGGAGUGAGGGGUAUUGGAUAGGUUGGGGGAGUGAGGGGUAUUGGAUAGGUUGGGGGAGUGAGGGGUAUUGGAUAGGUUGGGGGAGUGCGGGGUAUUGAAUAGGUUGGGGGAGUGAGGGGUAUUGAAUAGGUUGGGGGAGUGAGGGGUAUUGGAUAGGUUGGGGGAGUGAGGGGUAUUGGAUAGGUUGGGGGAGUGAGGGGUAUUGGAUAGGUUGGGGGAGUGAGGGGUAUUGGAUAGGUUGGGGGAGUGAGGGGUAUUGGAUAGGUUGGGGGAGUGAGGGGUAUUGGACAGGUUGUGGAAGCGUGGGGGAAGUGAUGAUGGGUAUUGAAUAGGUUGGGGGAGUGAGGGGUAUUGAAUAGGUUGGGGGAGUGAGGGGUAUUGAAUAGGUUGGGGGAGUGAGGGGUAUUGAAUAGGUUGGGGGAGUGCGGGGUAUUGAAUAGGUUGGGGGAGUGAGGGGUAUUGGAUAGGUUGUGGAAGUGUGGGGUAUUGAAUAGGUUGGGGAAGUGUGGGGUAUUGGAUAGGUUGUGGAAGUGCGGGGUAUUGAAUAGGUUGGGGAAGCGUGGGGGGAAGUGAUGAUGGGUAUUGAAUAGGUCGGGGAAGUGUGUGUUUUAUUCAAUCUUGCUCUGCCGAAUGUUUUUUUCACAGUCAUGUACUGGAAUGUUUAAAAAUACUAUUUUGAA